GUGCUCCAGGAGGGUUCCGGUGGGAAGGUCAGCCCGCGGCAGAGGACAGGCCUCUGGGGAAGGGCUCUGUGGUCUUCGUGAGGAAGUCCAGGACUCUCCGAGGCUUGGAAACCCAGAGCUUCCGGAGCUCAGCUCCUGGCUGGCUGCUUGCUUUUUGCGUUUGGAGAGCCUAUUCAGGACGGCACCCUUGGGCCGAGGGUGUCACUGAAAUAAGUGAAAUUUAGCUGCAUACCGCGGUGGCUGUAGAAACUUGUAAACAGUUUGUGCACACUGUGUAUAUAGGUGUCAGAAAGGACACUCACUUUGGAGUUACUAGUCUCUUCCGUGCUAGUUCUGCUGAGAGGACUUUCUUCUAAGCAUCAGAUUACUUCUGUGUUGUUUUUUUCCCCCCACCUGUAUUAAAGGUGGAAUUCUGGUUCUCAGGCCUUAUCUUCUUACCUGCCUAAGUUACUUAGGCGCCGGCCUUCUUCUGGGCACCCUCUUCGCUUCAUGUGCUGCCAGCUGCGGGCCCACCGCUUGGGGACCGCCCAGAUGCCUUGAUCUGACCCUGAUCUUACUGCGGCAUCUUUACCUACACCAGAAACCUCUUCAAGAGAACUGGACAUGGUUUUGUGGAAAGGUGUUCAUUUUAGUUGUAGUGUUACAAGCGUGCUUUUUAUGAUUUAAAAGUUUGGGGAGAAGUACCUACAUUAAAUAAAAUAAAUUUAAUGAAGAUUAUUCAUUGCAGGAUUUCAAGAUUGGAAUUAAUAGUAGGGAGGACUUGGCCCCAUAGCCUCUUUAUUUUAUGAAGAAGGAAAUUGACACCCGGUGGGAUAAGGGUACUGUGGAGGAGCAGCAAUGGAUUCCUUGGACCAUAUGCUGACGGACCCUCUGGAGCUGGGUCCGUGUGGAGAUGGCCAAGGCACCAGGAUUAUGGAGGACUGCCUGUUGGGAGGCACCAGAGUGAGCCUGCCUGAAGACCUGCUGGAGGAUCCUGAGAUAUUCUUUGAUGUUGUCAGCCUCUCGACGUGGCAAGAAGUACUAAGUGACUCCCAGCGUGAGCACCUCCAGCAGUUUCUGCCUCACUUCCCCUCAGACAGCACAGAGCAGCAGAACGAGCUCAUCCUAGCGCUGUUCAGUGGGGAGAACUUCCGCUUUGGGAACCCUCUGCACAUCGCCCAGAAGCUUUUCCGAGAUGGAUACUUUAACCCUGAGGUGGUCAAAUACCGGCAGCUAUGCUUCAAGUCACAGUACAAGAGAUACCUCAGCUCGCAGCAGCAGUAUUUCCACCGGCUGCUGAAGCACAUUCUUGCUUCCCGGAGUGAUCUGCUGGAGAUGGCCCGCAGGAGUGGCCCGGCCCUGCCCUUCCGACACAAGCGCCCUUCACCGUCCCGCAGCCCCGAGGAGCGGGAGUGGCGCACCCAGCAGCGCUAUCUGAAGGUUUUGAGGGAAGUGAAGGAGGAGUGUGGUGACACAGCUCUGUCGUCUGACGAAGAGGCCACGUUGGAUUUACAAGAAAAAUUUUCUUUUGAAGAUCUCAGCUCAUGGCUUCCGAGCUCUCCAGCACGUUCUCCUAGCCCCGCGGUACCCCUGAGGGUGGUGCCCACACUUUCCACCAUGGACAUGAAAACUGCAGAUAAAAUAGAACUUGGGGACAGUGACCUGAAGAUAAUGCUAAAGAAGCAUCAUGAGAAGCGGAAACAUCAGCCAGAUCACCCGGACCUUUUGACAGGGGACCUGACUCUCAGUGACAUCAUGACCCGAGUAAAUGCUGGCAAGAAGGGCUCUCUAGCAGCCUUAUAUGACUUGGCUGUCCUUAAAAAAAAAGCAAAGGAAAAGGAGGAAAGGAAGAAAAAGAAAAUAAAGCUAGUCAAAUCGGAGGCAGAAGACUUGGCUGAGCCUCUGAGUGGUACUGAAGGGGUUCCAGCUCUCUCGCAGGCCCCGUCUCCGCUGGCAGUACCCGCUAUAAAGGAAGAGCCCUUAGAAGACCUCAAGCCUUGCCUUGGAAUCAAUGAGAUAUCUUCUAGUUUCUUUUCUCUUCUGUUAGAGAUCUUGCUGCUGGAGAAUCAGGCUAGCCUUCCUAUGCUGGAAGAGCGUGUUUUGGAUUGGCAGUCAUCUCCAGCCAGUUCCCUCAAUAGCUGGUUUUCUGCGGCCCCCAACUGGGCUGAGUUGGUGUUGCCUGCCCUGCAGUAUCUUGCUGGAGAAAGCCGAGCUGUUCCUUCCAGUUUCUCUCCAUUCGUUGAAUUCAAAGAGAAAACCCAGCAGUGGAAAUUGCUUGGUCAGUCCCAGGAUAAUGAAAAAGAGUUAGCUGCACUGUUCCAGCUAUGGCUAGAGACAAAAGACCAGGCCUUCUGUAAGCAAGAAAAUGAAGACAGCUCAGAUGCCACGACCCCUGUCCCUCGGGUAAGAACUGACUAUGUGGUGCGGCCCAGCACAGGCGAGGAGAAGCGGGUGUUUCAGGAGCAGGAGCGGUACAGAUACAGCCAGCCCCACAAGGCAUUCACCUUCCGCAUGCACGGCUUCGAGUCAGUGGUGGGGCCAGUGAAGGGUGUGUUUGACAAGGAGACCUCCCUCAACAAGGCCCGAGAACACUCCCUGCUGCGCUCGGACCGUCCGGCCUAUGUCACCAUCCUGUCUCUUGUGCGGGAUGCUGCGGCCCGGCUGCCUAACGGGGAAGGCACGCGGGCAGAGAUCUGUGAGCUGCUCAAGGACUCGCAGUUUCUUGCUCCAGACGUCACCAGCACUCAGGUGAACACAGUCGUGAGUGGUGCCCUGGAUCGCCUACAUUAUGAAAAAGACCCUUGUGUAAAGUAUGACAUUGGACGAAAGUUGUGGAUCUACCUGCAUCGUGACCGGAGUGAGGAGGAGUUUGAGAGGAUUCACCAAGCACAAGCAGCUGCAGCUAAAGCCAGGAAAGCCCUUCAGCAGAAGCCCAAGCCCCCUUCCAAGGUGAAAUCCAGUAACAAGGAGAGCUCCAUGAAGGUCCUGAGCAGUGGCACUUCGGAGCAGAGCCAGAUGAGUCUCAGUGACUCCAGCAUGCCGCCUACCCCAGUCACACCCGUGACGCCCACCACACCAGCAUUGCCUGCUACACCCAUCUCCCCUCCUCCUGUGUCAUCAGUGAACAAAAGUGGUCCUACUUCUGUCUCUGAACCAGCAAAGUCUAGCUCAGGUGUUCUUCUGGUGUCCUCGCCAACAAUGCCACAGUUAGGAACGAUGCUUUCCCCAGCGUCCAGCCAGACUCCACCCAGUUCUCAGGCGCCUGCCCGGGUUGUGAGCCACUCUGGCUCUGCUGGGCUGCCCCAGGUGCGAGUGGUGGCCCAGCCCAGCCUUCCUGCUGUGCCCCAGCAGCCAGCAGGGCCAGCACCGACACUGCCACAGAUGCCAGCAGGACCACAGAUCCGGGUGCCAGCCACUGCCACACAGACCAAAGUAGUGCCCCAGGCCGUCAUGACCACUGUUCCUGUCAAAGCGCAGUCUACAGCAGCUACUGUGCAGCGGCCUGGCCCUGGGCAGACUGGGCUUACUGUGACAAGUCUCCCUGCCGCAGCCAGCCCUGUGAGCAAGCCAGCCACGAGUUCUCCCGGAAGCUCGGCUCCAAGUGCCUCCACAACUGCUGUCAUUCAAAACGUUACAGGGCAGAACAUUAUCAAGCAGGUGGCUAUCACUGGGCAGCUUGGUGUGAAGCCCCAGACAGGCAACAGCAUUCCACUCACAGCCACUAACUUCCGUAUCCAGGGUAAGGAUGUGCUGCGGCUGCCUCCCUCCUCUAUCACCACAGAUGCUAAGGGCCAGACGGUUCUGCGAAUCACUCCGGACAUGAUGGCCACGUUGGCCAAGUCCCAGGUUACCACUGUCAAAUUGACCCAGGACCUCUUCGGGACAGGAAGUGGCACUGCAGGCAAAGGCAUCUCUGCUACCCUACAUGUCACCUCCAAUCCUGUGCAUGCUGCCGAGAGCCCUGCCAGGGCCAGCUCUGCCAGUGCGCCUGCCUCCGCCCCAGCAGGUACCACCGUGGUCAAAGUGACACCUGACCUCAAGCCGACAGAAGCCUCAAGCUCAGCUUUUCGAUUGAUGCCAGCCUUGGGCAUGAGCGUGGCAGAUCAGAAGGGAAAAAACACAGUGGCCUCGUCAGAAGCAAAACCAGCUGCCACAAUCCGCAUCGUGCAGGGCCUGGGUGUGAUGCCUCCCAAAGCAGGCCAGACCAUCACCGUUGCAGCCCAUGCCAAGCCAGGGGCCUCAGUAGCCAGCGGGUCUGGAACUGUCCAUUCUCCAGCAGUGUCUUUGCCUAGUAUGAGCGCUGCCAUGUCCAAGACUGUGGCUGUGGCUUCUGGGGCCACAAGCACCCCCAUCAGCAUCGGGACAGGAGCCCCCACUGUGCGGCAAGUCCCUGUCGGCACCACAGUUGUGUCCACGUCCCAGGCUGGGAAGCUGCCUACCCGGAUCACAGUGCCGCUGUCGGUGAUUAGCCAGCCAAUGAAGGGCAAGAGCGUGGUCACGGCCCCCAUCAUCAAAGGCAACCUUGGAGCCAACCUCAGUGGCUUGGGCCGCAAUAUCAUUCUCACAACCAUGCCAGCAGGUACCAAGCUCAUCGCUGGCAACAAACCUGUCAGCUUCCUCACUGCACAGCAGCUACAGCAGCUUCAGCAGCAAGGUCAGGCCACACAGGUGCGCAUCCAGACUGUUCCCGCCUCCCACCUCCAGCAGGGCACAGCAGCUGGUUCCUCCAAAGCUGUCUCCACUGUUGUGGUGACCACUGCUCCAUCUCCUAAACAGGCACCUGAACAGCAAUGACUGAGAGUGGCUUCCAUAAGGGAGCACACCUGAUCUGUUCUGGCUGGAAGGCAGGCAGCAGGGGACUGUGUCUGCCCCGAGCUGGUCUGUCUGAGGCAGGCCAGCGGGAAGAGGAAGGCGAGAAUGGCCUGGGUUCUGCUGCUGUGCUCCAGGUCAAACCCCAGCUCGGGCUGACUGCCUUGCACCAGUCCAGGGGAAGGUUCCGGUAGAGUGGGGAGAUCCCGGUUCCAGCAUAGAAGCCAAAGUUCUCUCCUGAGAGUAGGGAAGGCUUACAGGGUGGGCAGGCAGUGAAUGAGCCUCGUUGGACAUGACAGCUGUAUUUUUUAGCCUCUGGUCUUUAUGACUUGAGGUCUUGAUAUGAGAUUUGUGUCCAGAAAAUUUUAUGUAACUUAUUUUUUUAAAGAAUCUAUCGUACAUCUUUGUCAAAUAGAAGCCUGGGCUCUAGGGCUGCCUGUACCCCGAGCUGAUAAGUUACUCUUUUGGCUAGAAUGAGAAAAUAGCAAGAAGUUUGUUAAGUUGGUAUAAUUGCAAGGCUGUGAGGUGGGAAACUGUGAAGUGAGGUGGUGCGGGUUCCCUGAAGCAGGAUUAGUUUGGCCCUGCCUCUUGAAGAGGCUUGGAACUAAUCAUGGUCCCUGCUUUUAUGCUCCAACACGGACUGCGGAAGAGCCAUUCACACGAAGCCCAGAGCCGUGGAACGGGCAGAGGAGUGACAGCAGGAUGCUGCUUUUGUAGUACAGACUUGUAUGUCGUCGUCUUCGGCUAACUGUGAAGAUGUGUCUGAGUUGAAGAAGAGAACAAGAUGAGAAUCCGGGUUCCUGAUCCUACAUUCCCUUUCUGCUGCCUUCUGAGGGAGGUGGCUGGGAUACUGCGGACAUUAAUGGAGAAGUGGACACGAGGAGAAUAAAAAGGCCAUCUAAACCCAUUCCUGUGCCUGUGUUUUCAGACAUCAUGUCACCCUGAGGACUUCCCCUGGGCAUGUGCAAAGGCCCUAUGGAGACCAUUGGUGGGAGUAUUCACCUGCCAGAACCAGGUUCCCUGGAAGAUGAGGAUGCUGGUUCGGAAUAGUUCCAGCACAAUGUUGUCCCGAAAGAUCACCUCUAGGGCUAUACUGAUACUUGCUCCAAACAAAGCAAACAGCAGGAGUGAAUGGAUGUGUUUGUCCAGCGGAGGUCUGUCAUGAACAUGGUAGUAGAAGAGAAAACCUACAGUGAACCAAAGGACACUCAUCAGAGACUUGCUUUUUUCCACUUGCAGAUGAUUACCCUGGGCUGUUCGACUAUUGGGAUUUCCUCCUAUCCCUGUCUCAAGGCUAGGUUCUUUAGCAUUUGGGAAGUCAGUUUAUGUAACAUUGCAAGGCAACAAACAGAUGCAUGUAAUUUUGUGGGUAUAAAGACUAGCAGAAAACGUAACUUCUGAGUAUCUACAGAAUCCAUGGUAGGAGUCUGACUUUAUAGUCUACAGCAGGUAUUUCAUUAUAAGGACAGAAGCUGACUAGUACAGUGGGUCUCCUAAGAUUUGUCUUGGAGGCUGGACAGUAACACUGCAGGGUGUGAGCUGUAGAGUUUUUCUUCCAAACCAAAAGGGCUACUCUCCCACUUCCCGGAGCAUUGAGCCACUUCUGUGAAGGUCCUUGUGACUGCUUUAUUUGUGAACGUUUGUACUCUGAUCCUCAUACAUUGUGUAUGUCUCUCUAUUACCUUCAAUAAAGACUGCCAUCGCCAAAACCAA